CUGCCGCCUUCCGCUGCCUCCCCGCAGACACAGCUUCAGCGAUGCCCAGGCUGAGCGAGCAGAAGACGUUCCCGCGGGCCGGGCCUACCCUCAGGCAGUGGCUCGCAGAGCUCCCCGGUUCCCCGCACUCUUCUGUGCCCGACUCCCCACGCCCCUACAUCCUGCGUUCCCUUCAGCUCCGGAGGCACCGUGGGGCCCGGGCGGCGGUCUGCCAGUCACCACCUCCUCCUCCGCCGGCGCCUCCGGGUCCUGAGCCCCUCGCCGGGUCCCUCCCCCUCCUGGGGCUCCUUUCUGUCUAGCCUGCGGGCCCCACCCCGCUUUCCCCGCACCCCCGGGCCCGGCCUGCGCCCUCCUGCGGUGCCGAGGGAAGUGGGGUGAGGAAGUCCCGCCGAGUCGAGGGGCGCAGCGGAGGAGCGCCGGAACGUCCCUCAUUCCGAGUAGCUGCCGUUGCACUGUGCGAGUGUGAAAAUCACUUCCACCUGGUCUCGGUGGUUUCAGCUCCGAAGUGAGGAGGUUGCACUGGAAGGUUUCUGGGGUCACUCCAGUGAGGCUGGGAUUCUAGCCCUAAUAUCACCGUAGCAACCGAAAGGCCCAGACACCGGACCAUCACCUCUUUCCCCGGGGCCAGCGGAGGACUCCUGAAGGAGGGAGGGUUUGUCUCAGGCCUGACAAUUCCUGAUGAGGACUUGGGCAGAAAUAGCCCCAGGCAAGGGGACCUUCAUCAUUCCUGCACUUGAGCGGUCUCCUCCCUGCCCCACCCCACCCCCCACCCCAGAAGGAGAAAACCAGAGCUCUGAUUCCCAGCGGCGGGGCAGCCUGCAGGCCCGGGUCCCAGCCCAAACGGAGGCGGCCCUGGGCAGCGGGCGCUUGGAAUCCCAGGGCUCAGGGCCACUCAACCCUUGUUACUGUCCCUCAUCUAGAAGAUGGGUGUAAUCACAAAACAAUUCGCUGUAGAUGGCAAGCUCAGACGUUGGGAACUGUGGGGCUGGCUCUUUCUGCACUCACACUGUCCAGCAGUGGACCCCACGGCCAUGGCCAGAGGGCAGUAGGGCAAUGAGAAAGAGGUGGCUUCCGGAAACCUACGCGAGACCCCAUCUGGGUGGAUUUGGGUGGCGGUGCCUUGCCUGCGAGGUGGGCCGGGCAACUUUCUACUGAAUUAUCUGACACUGCAAGUAAUGGCAGCCCUGCCCCAGGGAGCCCUGAGGCUGGGCCAGGACCACCCCCCUGUUGCCUGGCUUCAGGAAAGAAAGUGCGGCAGACAACAGAUUUGGGAGAAGGAACCUGAGGAGGUUUUUUCCCAGUCUCCCUCACACUGCCUCAGUCAUGGCCAUUGCUAAGGCUCACGGAGCCCAACUGUGCAAGGCCCUGCACUCUGCACUUCUUCUCAUCCAACCCCACAACAAUCCAAGGAGAAACAUAAUGUCCCCAUUUUACACGUGGUAGAACUGAGGUUCUACAUGGCCAAGUGACUUGUUCAGCACCAUACAGCUGGUAGUGGUGAAGCCAGGAUUCAAAUCCAAUUUUCCGACUCUAAAGUCCAAGUCACAGGCCGAGUGUGGUGGCUCACGCCUGUAAUCCCAGCACUUUGGAGGCUGAGGCGGGCAGAUCAUGAGGUCAGGAGUUCGAGACCAGCCUGGCCAACACAGUGAAACCCUGUCUCU